rnacentral:rRNA from 1 species
GACGAACGCUGGCGGCGUGCUUAACACAUGCAAGUCGAACGGAAAGGCCCUGCUUUUGUGGGGUGCUCGAGUGGCGAACGGGUGAGUAACACGUGAGUAACCUGCCCUUGACUUUGGGAUAACUUCAGGAAACUGGGGCUAAUACCGGAUAGGAGCUCCUGCUGCAUGGUGGGGGUUGGAAAGUUUCGGCGGUUGGGGAUGGACUCGCGGCUUAUCAGCUUGUUGGUGGGGUAGUGGCUUACCAAGGCUUUGACGGGUAGCCGGCCUGAGAGGGUGGACAGCGACAUUGGGACUGAGAGACGGCCCAGAAUCCUACGGGAGGCAGCAGUGGGGAAUAUUGCACAAUGGGCGGAAGCCUGAUGCAGCAACGCCGCGUGCGGGAUGACGGCCUUCGGGUUGUAAACCGCUGUCGCCUGUGACGAAGCGUGAGUGACGGUAAUGGGUAAAGAAGCACCGGCUAACUACGUG